AUUGAACGCUGGCGGCAGGCCUAACACAUGCAAGUCGAACGAGUGGCGGACGGGUGAGUAAUGUCUGGGAAACUGCCCGAUGGAGGGGGGUAACUACUGGAAACGGUAGCCAAUAACGCAUACCAUCGGAUGUGCCCAGAUGGGCUUAGCUGGUAGGUGGGGUAACGGCUUACCUAGGCGACGAUCCCUCGCUGGUCUGAGAGGAUGACCAGCCACACUGGAACUUAGACACGGUCCAGACGCCUACGGGAGGCAGCAGUGGGGAAUAUUGCACAAUGGGCGCAAGCCUGAUGCAGCCAUGCCGCGUGUAUGAAGAAGGCCUUCGGGUUGUAAAGUACUUUCCGCGAGGAGGCGUUACUCGCAGAAGAAGCGCCGGCUAACUCCGUGCCAGCAGCCGCGGUAAUUC
rnacentral:rRNA from 1 species